UCUCUCUCCCUCCCUCCCUGCUUCCCAUGUGGAGUAGCGAGAGGAAGCAGCAGUACAAAGGAGGGUUCUGGGUUUGGGCGGGAGUGCGAUUGAUCGAGGGGGUUGAGAGAGCUGCUUCGAUCGGUCCAAAGAGGUCUGAGAUAUAUUCUUGGCGGGAGUAGAGUCGGUUCUGCAGGGAGGCAAACAGCAGAGAAGAAGAAGAAGAAAAAAAAAAAGAUUGCAAGGAAGAAAGGUAAGCAGGCUAUCUAUCUAUCUAUCCAUCUAUCAGUAAUCCUCCUUUAAGCCGCUCCCUCUCCUUUCUCUCCGCAGCUUUCCUGGAUUUCUGUGCUCUACUCAUCACCUCCCCUCCUCUUCUCAUGAAACAUAACCAUAUCCCUCCCAAAAGAUCUCCUCUUUCCAACUUAAAAAUAAAUAAAAUAAAUAACAAGGAUUUAGAUUAGAUCCUUCCUUGCUGAUCCCUUCAUUCUGAUUUUCUUUUAAACUACUCUUUCCUUUUGGCUGCUAUUUAUAUUUGUUUCCGAGAAUAUAUAAGAUAAAAAUCUCGGUCGUUUCCUCAAACAUUCCAUGUCCGGUCCAUGUUAGUGGUCUCGAAGCUCGAUUCCAAGCUUCAGCCUCAGAACCCUUGUUCACACUCUCCCAUAUCCAUCUCUUCCAACUCCCACCAACCCUCUUCUACUAUGGUCUUUGCUUCCCGGUUUUGCUCUACGAAGCUGCUGCUCGCCAUCCCAAAUGACCGGGUUGCCCUUACCGCCGCUGCGGUCUCGAAGGGUAAUUUGGUAAUCAUGGUAAGGAGGUGACGUGUCGGUGGUCCCGUCUGGGGGGGAGAUCUCUUCGUAGCGUUGUUGGUUUCUGGUCGCCAGAGGCCAGGCACAUGGGAGCGGCAGCGGCUGCAGCAGCGCUGCUGGAUACAUCGAGAACUCUUGCCCCCAGGUCGUUUUCAAUUAUAAUUUACUUAUUUUUUUCCUCUUUUCUCUUCUUUCAAAUGUUAAAAUAUUAUAAAGUAUGGGAUAAAAUAAGAUCAAAAUGUCACGAAAAUUAAUGGGGCCAUUAAAUACUCGCCUCCCCCGCUCUUAUUAAUGGAGCAAUGCAGGAGAAUGGGAAGGGAGGGGGAGAAAGUCCCGAGUCCCUUUUUUUUAACUCCUUCUUGGCCUUGCUGCUGCCUUUUUUUAAAAAUUUAGUUUAUAUGUACAUUUUUUUAAUCUCUCAGCGGCUCUCAGUGGUGGCGUGCCGCUCUUAGGUCGUGGAGGAGCGGCCGGAGCUUCCGCUAUGGGUACGUGAAACCCGGGGAGUACGUUUCUUGGUCGCCGCGUCCCCGAAUUACCCUCGGUUCGGACCGGCUCUUCUUGGCCGCGCCAUCGUCUCGUGGGAGGUAGCAGGAGGGGCAUUCCCGUCAUUUUGAGGUGGCUGGGUACGAAUAUUUCAGGCUGGGGAGCUAUUGCGUGUGGGAUGGAGGGAAGAGUAGGGGAAGAGGCGGGAGGGGAGGAGGGGAAGAAGUACACUUAAAACCGGGGUUGGUAAAUAUUGAGGAGUUAUAAAAGAGGGGGAAAAGAAGAGGAGAGAGAUUUACUGCAUGCCCUUGCUUUUGUUUCUUUCUUUUUCUCUCCAGGAGAAUGAGAAGAGUGAAGAGAAAGGAAGAGGGGAGAAGGUGUCUCCUCCUUAAAAAGGGAGGCCGGCCUCUACGGCCAAGCUAGAGAAAGAGAGGAAGAUUAAAGCUUUGGUCUCAAACGCGAGGCAUUUGGUUCCCUCGGCACGAGAGAAGGCGCGAAGGCGUCGAUGGCGGUGGCGGUGGCAAAGGAGGAGAUGAUGGUGGGCUACUGGCGGUGGUGGUGGUGGUGGUGGUGGUGGAAGGCUGCAUACACAAGGUGAUGAGGUGGUGUCGUGGUUUUGAGGUGUAUGUUCGCUUGUGGAACUGGGAUAUUGGCGUAAUAGGCUCAAUCACUUCUUUUUUUU
rnacentral:lncRNA from 1 species